rnacentral:tRNA from 1 species
UGGCGGGUAGCUCAGUGGAUAGAGCGCUAAAACAUCCUUGAUUCACCCCUUGCCCGUAAGGGCCGAAGAAUUGAGGGUUAUCGAUUGUGGAUCGAGAGGUCGCGGGUUCAAAUCCCGCUCCGCCAC